rnacentral:rRNA from 1 species
AUACGGAGGAUCCGAGCGUUAUCCGGAUUUAUUGGGUUUAAAGGGUGCGCAGGCGGCCAUUUAAGUCAGCGGUUAAAUCGUGGGGCUCAACCCCAUUCUGCCGUUGAUACUGGGUGGCUUGAUUGCGGUCGAGGUUGGCGGAAUUCGUUGUGUAGCGGUGAAAUGCAUAGAUAUGACGAAGAACACCGAUUGCGUAGGCAGCUGACCAGACCGCAAAUGACGCUCAUGCACGAAAGUGCGGGGAUCGAACAGGAUUAGAUUCCCUGGUAGUCCGCACAGUAAACGAUGAAUACUCGCUGUUUGCGAUAUACAGUAAGCGGCCAAGCGAAAGCAUUAAGUAUUCCACCUGGGGAGUACGCCGGCAACGGUGAAACUCAAAGGAAUUGACGGGG